rnacentral:rRNA from 1 species
UUAUUUACUUGAUUUUGAUUCCAUACGUGGAUAACUGUGGCAAUUCUAGAGCUAAUACAUGCACCAAAGCUCCGACUCAACUGACGAGCGCAUCUAUUAGAAUAAAACCAAUCGAGGUUACGCCUCGUCCAUUUGGUGACUCUGAAUAGCUUAGCUGAUCGCAUGGUCUUGCACCGGCGACGUAUCUAUCAAGUAUCUGCCUUAUCAACUUUCGAUGGUAGUUUAUAUGACUACCAUGGUUGUAACGGGUAACGGAGAAUAAGGGUUCGACUCCGGAGAGGGAGCCUGAGAAACGGCUACCACUUCCAAGGAAGGCAGCAGGCGCGCAAAUUACCCACUCUCAGCUCAGAGGAGGUAGUGACGAAAAAUAACGAGACCGUACUCGAUGAGGCCGGUUAUCGGAAUGGGUACAAUUUAAACCCGUUAACGAGGAUCUAUGAGAGGGCAAGUCUGGUGCCAGCAGCCGCGGUAAUUCCAGCUCUCAAAGUGUAUAUCGGCAUUGCUGCGGUUAAAAAGCUCGUAGUUGGAUUUCAGCCUUACGACGUGGUCCAUUCAUUGAAUGCGAACUACGCCUCGUAGGCUAUAUUGAUGUUGGUUUUUCCUUACGUUGCUCUAAUCGGCUGCGUAAGGUGGCUAACGAGUUUACCUUGAAAAAAUUAGAGUGCUCAACGCGGGCUAACGCCUGAAUACUCGUGCAUGGAAUAAUGGAAUAGGAUCUCGGUUCUAUUUUGUUGGUUUUCUGAUCUGAGAUAAUGGUUAAGAGGGACAGACGGGGGCAUUCGUAUCGCUGCGUGAGAGGUGAAAUUCUUGGACCGUAGCGAGACGUCCCACUGCGAAAGCAUUUGCCAAGAAUGUCUUCAUUAAUCAAGAACGAAAGUCAGAGGUUCGAAGGCGAUCAGAUACCGCCCUAGUUCUGACCGUAAACGAUACCAACUAGCGUUCCGCCAGCAGUAAAUACGCCUUGGCGGGCAGCUUUCCGGAAACGAAAGUUUUUCGGUUCCGGGGGAAGUAUGGUUGCAAAGCUGAAACUUAAAGAAAUUGACGGAAGGGCACCACCAGGAGUGGAGCCUGCGGCUUAAUUUGACUCAACACGGGAAAACUCACCUGGCCCGGACACCGUGAGGAUUGACAGAUUGAGAGCUCUU